UGAAAGAGAUGAUGAAUCAAACGGUAACACUUUUGAUUGGUCGGAAAAGAGAAGCAGUUCGCAGCUGAAGAGAGCUCAAGAGAGAGAGAGCAUAAUCCCUAAACGUUGAAAAGGAAGUAUUGGAACAGGAUGGUCUGUUAACAAUUACCCAACAAGGAAUCUGAAGUUUGAGAUGCAUAAGAUUGUAAUGGUGAACGGUGAGAUGAGCCUUGAACCUGGAAGUAUGGGGAUGAAGGAGUGGCUGAAAGAGAAUGUAAAGGAGGAGGAAUAUGUGGUGAUGAAGGUAGAGGUUGAGGUGUUGGAGGAGAUGAUGAGGAGCAAGACGAUAAAAUGGUGGAUAAGUUUGCUUGGAAUGCAAGCCAACAAGGCUAAGGGGGAAAACAUGGAGACAGACGUGAGAGUGAAUUAUUUAUCAAACCAUGCGUUUUUUUUCUUUACAUUAUCUGCUUUUUUUUUCUUUCGUUUUGUUGUCAGAAUUGUUUUAAUCAUCUUAUGAUCAUUUUGUAUUGUUGUGUUUUUAGUAUUUUGUGGUGUUGUAAGUUUGGGGAUCUAAUGAACUUAAUUAAUUAUGUUAAA